rnacentral:misc_RNA from 1 species
GGAGGCAGAGCAUAACGUUAGAUAAAUGAAAAGCAAUGGUUUAGUAGAAAGUAAUACAAUCAGUAUCUAAACCAAAAAUUAGUAAGAGCGUAUCAGCUAAUAAAUGGAAAGUAUUUGACCCGAACCGUGUAUAACGGCUAGAUUAUCACCGAACCUAAGGUUAGUGUUUGCUCUGGACUAUAUCAAACCCUAAGUGAAAAGGAAAAAAGGAAACUUGGGAGAAAAAAGGAAACUUGAAUGUCAAACAAAGAAGUUUAUAUACAUGCGUCUCGGGUCUCCUCUCAAGUUAAAGACGCAAUUGCUCUGAAUUUUUUUUCAAUUCUCUUCUUCGAUUUCUGUCUGCUUCGUUUGCCUCUCUGUUCUCUUCCUUUUUGAGAUUUCAUUAUUCACGAGUUGUUGCAUCUGCUUUGGAUUCACCCUAAUCUUUGGUGUGAUUCGUUGGUCUGGCCUAAGAAAGACCCAUAUAUACAACGGCUCUCUCUGUUCACUUCAAAAGCAACGAAGAAGACGAGAGAGAUCACACACACAAGCAUCACGUCUUAAUUUGUUUGCCUGCGAUGAUAAGAUCUAUCAUCCACCGUAGAAACAGAGAGAGAGACGAUUCGAAGGACAUGUUGACGGGAAUUUUAGGCUUCGGGAGUCAUGAUGUUGGAGGUUCUAUCCGGCGAUUGAGGUGUCGAUAGAUUGAGGAGGUGGAGCGAUCAGAGGAUUUUAGGCUUUGGGAGUCAUGAUGGUGGAGCGAUCAUCGGAGAUUGGCGAUGGAGAUUGAGGAGGUGGAGCGUAUUUUCCGUUAACGGGUAAAGAUGGCAUGUGCUCUCAGAGGCCCAAUAGAAACAAUUCCAGCCCAUCAAACAAUGACUAGCCCAUUGCCAGAGGUGUCCUUCCGAGCUAAUU